rnacentral:rRNA from 1 species
AGCGAACGCUGGCGGCAGGCUUAACACAUGCAAGUCGAACGGUCCUUCGGGAUAGUGGCGGACGGGUGAGUAACACGUGGGAACGUACCCUUAGGUUCGGAACAACACAGGGAAACUUGUGCUAAUACCGGAUAAGCCCUUCGGGGGAAAGAUUUAUCGCCUUUGGAGCGGCCCGCGUCUGAUUAGCUUGUUGGUGAGGUAAUGGCUCACCAAGGCUACGAUCAGUAGCUGGUCUGAGAGGAUGGCCAGCCACACUGGGACUGAGACACGGCCCAGACUCCUACGGGAGGCAGCAGUGGGGAAUCUUGCGCAAUGGGCGAAAGCCUGACGCAGCCAUGCCGCGUGGAUGAUGAAGGUCUUAGGAUUGUAAAAUCCUUUCACCGGGGACGAUAAUGACGGUACCCGGAGAAGAAGCCCCGGCUAACUUCGUGCCAGCAGCCGCCGUAA